rnacentral:lncRNA from 7 species
GGAUCUGUUGCGUGGAGUAGCCGGAUUUCGGCCAUCCCUCCACCGCGGAGGCAGGCGACGCCGUCGCGCUCAUGCUCAGGCCUCAGGGUGACGAUGACGAACCCGUCGCCGUUUGACGUGACUUGUGUGGCCGAGGUUAGAAGCCACGUACCCCUUUGCUUCGAUCGACUCCUGGCCAUGGAUCCUCGAUCGAGCGGGUGUGGUGGAAUCUGGCCAUAAUUAAAUCGAGACCAUAGCUUUUGGAUCUUGCGGCCACUGGUGCAUACCGGUUCGGUGUGAAGGUGAAUCUAAUCCUAGCCGUGCACGAGAGAUUGGAUGGCUUAGAAUUCCUCAAACCCCUUCGGCCGCGUGCAUAUUGCAUAAUAGACCCUCAAGUAUUUCGAAAUAAACCCACCAUCCCCUCAGGUGUAAAGAUAAUUGCAUGUAGGUCCUAACUUUUAUGAAACAGACCCAAACUUUCAAGAAAAUAGUACCCGCAGUAUAUAUACUAGUGUUUGACGCGCACCCACCGCGCGUUAUUUUUAUUUUUUAUAUAUUUUUUUGUGGUCAUACAAAUUUUUAUGUGUAUAUAAAGAAAAUAUGUUAUACAUGAAGGUACAUGUAUAAUGUAACAUUAAUAUUCCCUUUUUAUGCCAACAAAGGGAAGGUUUAAAU